GUACGAGAUCAAGUAUGACAAGGAGGACUACCUGCUGAGAGUGAAGAAGGCAUCGGCCAGUGACGAGGGCACCUUCACCUGCCUGGCAGAGAACCGGGUGGGCAAGGUGGAGGCCUCUGCCAGCCUCACCGUCAGAGCUCGCCCUGUCGCUGCACCCCAGUUUAUCAUCAGGCCGCGGGACCAGAUCGUGGCCCAGGGUCGCACCGCCACCUUCCCCUGUGAGACCAAGGGCAACCCCCAGCCUGCAGUCUUCUGGCAGAAGGAGGGUAGCCAG